GUUUACGGCCACACAGGCCUGAGUACGCCUGAUCUCGUCCGAUCUCGGAAGCUAAGCAGGGUCGGGCCUGGUUAGUACUUGAAUGGGAGACCGCCUGGGAAUACCAGGUGCUGUAAGCU
rnacentral:rRNA from 1 species